rnacentral:rRNA from 1 species
CCUACGGGAGGCAGCAGUGAGGAAUAUUGGUCAAUGGCCGGGAGGCUGAACCAGCCAAGUCGCGUGAGGGAAGACGGCCCUACGGGUUGUAAACCUCUUUUGUCAGGGAGCAAGGUGCAGGUCGGGACCUGCUGGGAGAGUACCUGAAGAAAAAGCAUCGGCUAACUCCGUGCCAGCAGCCGCGGUAAUACGGAGGAUGCGAGCGUUAUCCGGAUUUAUUGGGUUUAAAGGGUGCGCAGGCGGAGGCACAAGUCAGCGGUAAAAUCGCGGGGCUCAACCCCGCCGAGCCGUUGAAACUGGGUGCCUUGAGUGGGCGAAGGGUAGGCGGAAUGCGUGGUGUAGCGGUGAAAUGCAUAGAUAUCACGCAGAACUCCGAUCGCGAAGGCAGCGUACCGGCGCGCAACUGACGCUGAUGCACGAAGGCGUGGGUAUCGAACAGGAUUAGAUACCCGAGUAGUC